GAUGAACGCUGGCGGCGUGCCUAAUACAUGCAAGUCGAGCGAACGGACGAGAAGCUUGCUUCUCUGAUGUUAGCGGCGGACGGGUGAGUAACACGUGGAUAACCUACCUAUAAGACUGGGAUAACUUCGGGAAACCGGAGCUAAUACCGGAUAAUAUUUUGAACCGCAUGGUUCAAAAGUGAAAGACGGUCUUGCUGUCACUUAUAGAUGGAUCCGCGCUGCAUUAGCUAGUUGGUAAGGUAACGGCUUACCAAGGCAACGAUGCAUAGCCGACCUGAGAGGGAGAUCGGCCACACUGGAAGUGAGACACGGACAAGACUCCUACGGGAGGCAGCAGUAGGGAAUCUUCCGCAAUGGGCGAAAGCCUGACGGAGCAACGCCGCGUGAGUGAUGAAGGUCUUCGGAUCGUAAAACUCUGUUAUUAGGGAAGAACAUAUGUGUAAGUAACUGUGCACAUCUUGACGGUACCUAAUCAGAAAGCCACGGCUAACUACGUG
rnacentral:rRNA from 1 species